rnacentral:rRNA from 1 species
CCAGACUCCUACGGGAGGCAGCAGUGGGGAAUAUUGGGCAAUGGGCGCAAGCCUGACCCAGCAACGCCGCGUGAAGGAAGAAGGCUUUCGGGUUGUAAACUUCUUUUAUUCGGGACGAAGAAAGUGACGGUACCGAAUGAAUAAGCCACGGCUAACUACGUGCCAGCAGCCGCGGUAAUACGUAGGUGGCAAGCGUUAUCCGGAUUUAUUGGGUGUAAAGGGCGUGUAGGCGGGAAUGCAAGUCAGAUGUGAAAACUCAGGGCUCAACCCUGAGCCUGCAUUUGAAACUGUAUUUCUUGAGUGCUGGAGAGGCAAUCGGAAUUCCGUGUGUAGCGGUGAAAUGCGUAGAUAUUAGGAGGAACACCAGUGGCGAAGGCGGCUUGCUGGACAGAGACUGACGUUGAGGCUCGAAAGCGUGGGGAGCAAACAGGAUUAGAUACCCUCGUAAU